rnacentral:lncRNA from 1 species
CUGGGGUUGUUUGGUACAUUGUGGCACUGGAAAGAUGCCCCGAGAGUCAGUCCUUCAGCACAUGCCCCAAUUGUGCAGCUGUGUGAGUCCAUGUGUCCUAAGCCAUCACGUCCUGCUUUCCUGUAUCCUUUUAUAAAAAGAUAGCUAGGGAACUGAAUGUCAUUUUCAAAGCUAUGAGAUUCAGAGUGGUACAUGAUGGCUUUUAAGGAGCACGUGGAAGAUCCACAUUCUGUCGUAUUCGGGGUCCGUGUGAGCGAGUGUAUGCAUAUGUGUGAUAAAUACAACCCAGUGUUCUUUUAUGUGACUGCAAAUAUCCUUAACAAGUGUAAUACUGUUGAGAGUGUUGUGAAGCUGGGUGUGUUUUCCACUGUGUGUCUGUGGGGCUGUAGCUGUCAUGGUGUCACAGUGAGUUUACGGACUGGUGCCUGCGCGUGUCAAGCUAUGUGUGAACCUGUAAGUUGGGGGUGCGGUGUGUCGCCAUCAUUUCUGUGUGGAUGUGUGUGUGUGUGCCUGAACCACUGCAAUGUGUGUGCCUCUGUGAUGCUGGGCGUGGGUGCUGUGUGAAGGGGAAGAUGUGUGUCACUGUGUCUGUGGGGGUCCUGCCUCUGAGCCUCCCCCCAGCCCGCCCUCCUCCCCCAGUUCUGUGGCUCUCCUCCCCAGACAGUGGCCUGCCCCUCCUCCUCCUCCCCUCCCAACCCGUCUGUGCAGGGGGGAGCUGAUGCUGCAGCCCCCCCACCCUUUCCCCAUCCAAGCCCCAUAAAUAGCAGCAGAGCCAGAGCGGAGCCAUGGCGCCAGCGGCUGGAGCAGCAAGGAGUCAGGGCCAGGCUCAGAACCGGAGAGAGGAGCCCCCCGACUGCAAACAGCUGGAUGGACUGACCGGCCGUGAACUCAGGCCACAGUGCCCCGCCUGCUGCUGCCCGAGGCUCGACCUUCAGGGGCCUCUCCAGCCCCUGCCCCAGCCCCUUGUCCCAGUUCAGCUCCCUCAUGCCAAGACUGAGUGCAGUGCUGGCUCAAACACCAGUCGGGAAAUAGCAGAAGGUGCUGAGACAGCAGAAAGUGUGGAUCAAUCGAUGGCCUGGGAGCCAAGGCUGCCAGAAACCCAGCUUGCAUCCCAACCCUCCAGCCCUUUCAAGCCCCAUCCACACACACCUGGUGACAUGUCUGACCCUGAGAUGGGAUGUGGUGCCUGAGCCCCCAACCAUGACGUUGGGGGCCUCCCCUGGUGGAGCUGGGAUGAGUAUCCUGCCAUGGCCUCUUGGACCGGAGACACUCUGGCCAAGCCCCACCCCUGUGUGCUGCUCAAGCUGUACUCUGACGCAAGCAAUGGGUAGAGGGGUAGAGC